GAAAGAGGUGGAGCGGAGUGGAGGCGUGCUUUGGCAGCGGCGCGUUUUCUAUCACACAUCUUUCAUACCCGCUGCUGGCACAGCCAUCAGGAGCAACGUGGCUUUAACUGUCCCUUGCCCAAGGACACAUCGGCAUGUAGACUAGCGGAGCCAGGAAUCGAUCCCACAACCUUCAAGUUGAAAGAUGACUCACUCUACCACUGAGUUACAGCCGGCCCGUUGGCACAUGCGGUCGGCCUGAGUGGGUAACAUUCCAAUCCCCACAGUGGUGGUGUCUCUUGUGGUGUUUUCUUUUGGAUUCCUCCCCUUUUGAUUUCCUGCCACCCUGUAAAUAUGCAGCAUAAAGGAGGACAGUCCAUUCAUGUGAGAGGACGGGCGAAAGCUCCUGUGAUGAAUUGGAAUGAAAGGCAAUGCAGACUGACAGCUCGGAGUCAAUGAGCAGCCAGUGCGAGGUGAUUCUUCAAGCAGGCGAAACCAGGACCCUCUUGGGGGAAACAAGAAAAGGCAAGGCUGUCAGGCUGCUCAUUGAGGAGGGAGCCUACAAACAUGAGAAAAUGUGAAGCAGAGCCUGCAGCAACCAGACUCCUCUCCUGUCCAAUUUGGGUUCUGGAGGUGGGCACCAUCUCUGCAAAUGAAGUUUGACUAAUGUGUGUGUUUCUAUCCGCCAUGACUCCGAACCUGCAAAAAUAAGUUCUUUCUACCAGCUCUGCUUUCAUGAGAAGCAUAACAAAUAGAGGGCUCUGGUCUUCGGGGGCAUGAAGAGGAAUCAGGUGUGCUGUAAGGAUGUGGACUUGUGGGCUCCAGCGGGUUUAAGCCCAGGGGCCACCGGCAGAGGAGAGCUGCGAUAAGUCUGGCCUGAAGAAAGUAUGCACUCACGUGGGAUGAGCAAGAGGAAGACAAUUGGCAACAUUGUUUUCUCCAGCCUGCUGUUGCAUCACAUACACAUUCCCAAUGCACACUUCAUGGAAACGUCUGUUAAACUUUAAUAUUCAUACUGCCUUUCAAAAUGUUAAUGGCAUAAUAUCAAACACUUCCGCAGUAAAUAUCUAAAAUGACAAUACACUUUGUAUUAGUGUUGUAAAAUGUAGUAUUCUUACAUGAGCCAAAAGUUUCCAAAACUCAUUAAAUAGAUAUCCCCCAUUCCAUAUUGAAGGCCUUUUUUCUUUUUUUUU